rnacentral:rRNA from 1 species
CGUCGCCGCGGUAAUACGUAGGUGGCAAGCGUUGUCCGGAAUUAUUGGGCGUAAAGGGCUCGCAGGCGGUUUCUUAAGUCUGAUGUGAAAGCCCCCGGCUCAACCGGGGAGGGUCAUUGGAAACUGGGAAACUUGAGUGCAGAAGAGGAGAGUGGAAUUCCACGUGUAGCGGUGAAAUGCGUGGAGAUGUGGAGGAACACCAGUGGCGAAGGCGACUCUCUGGUCUGUAACUGACGCUGGGGAGCGAAAGCGUGGGGAGCGAACAGGAUUAGAUACCCGCGUAGUCCCUGUCUCUUAUACA